GCCUCCCUGCCUGCUGCACAGAGACACACACACAGACACACACAUACACACACAGACAGAGACUUAUAUUGUAAUAAAGAGAACCCCAGACACAGAACCAGAGAGAGAUAAAUACAAAAAAAAAAAGUAAAACCAACAAAAAAAUCAACAAAAAAAAUGUACCUGUUAAUAACUCCAAAGGAGCACCACCCACUCAACCAACCUCCACAAACUGACAGCUCAGCAACUUCUCCGACUGGCCACCCAUCGCUGGAUGUUCCUCCACUUUAUCCACCAUAUAAAACAACUUUUACCAGUAAAUAUCGGUUUAUUCCUGAAAUCAGAAGCCCUAAACAUACCUUUGUUUAUAAGGUCAGUUGUCAUUUCCUCUCUAUCCUCCCCCAUUUAAAAUAAAUUAUGUGAUCUCUAAGGUAAUUGAAAGGUACAAAGUUUGCUUCCUAGUUUUCCUCCUCUGCACUACCAAAAAGGGAACUUACAGGACCUAGAGAACGUCUAUCGGUAAUGUAGGUGUGAAUUUACAAAUUAUUGUUGUUUUUAAAAUUUCAAACUUUUUUGGAAACUUACUUUUCAGACUACAGAUGCUUAGGUAAGCGGUGGUGGUGGGCACUCAUAGAAAUCCCCUAAAAAAUAAAUAAUUAGGAGACUGAUAUUUCACAAUAUCAUGUGUAGUUCUGUUCCAGUAUAUUCAUUCCUAGUCUUAGAAAGUACUUAUCUGAAAAUAUACACUAGAAAAUAAAACUUAGAUAAAGGGGAAAAAACAGAAUUUGAACAGGAUCUCUUUUUUAAAAUAUUCACAAAAAUAUGCUUUGAAGUUGAGAGAAGAGUCAAAUAGUGAAAUGUUCAAAACUUAAAAGGACAUUGUUGGGUAGUUUAGACCACAAAUUUAGGUUUUCUGGUUAUUUUACAAAAAAAUUAGUAGCAAUACAUUUGACAAAAGUUAAUCUUAUUCUUAAAAACCCAAAACAGGAUUUGGAAGUAUUUAAACACUUCUUUGUAAUGUUUGCAACCAAAGACAAUAGCAUUGUGCUCGUAUGCAAGAGACCGAAGCUAGCAAGGAAUAGAAAAUGAAGCUGACUUAACAGACCAAUGCAAAGAGUUAAAAAAGGAUUUUAAAAAUUCUUUCAAUUUUAAUUAUCUACAGCAUUCAUAAUGCAAGGCUAUUUUCUAUAGCUAUUGAGCUGAACAAUGUCCCUUUAAGGAGAUGCAGCACAAUUUACAAAUUUUAUCCUCGAUGUGUUUCCUUAUUUUUGUUAGUUUCAUGCUCUCAGUACAAAUCAAAGCUCUUGCAACCUUUGUUGGAGUCCAUAGUGACUGGAGUUUUCCAGCAGUAAGUACACUUUCUGAGCUGAAAACUACCUUUCCUCCCCUUUUGCAGCCUGUGUGGUUCUGAUUGCUGGCAGUUCUGUAGUACAGCAGCCUUAAUCUGAGCAAUUGAGACUGGUCCUACAUUAUCUUCAGACGGCUUGAGGAGGACUUCUGUUCCCAGUUUGGUACUCAAAUACUCCAUCCCACCUUGAGAAGUCACUUACUUUAAAAGCCAGUGAUAGAUUAUUCUCUUUAGCACUAAUGGAAAAUUAUACUGCAAAGCAGCUUUCGUAUAUUCAUAAUUCCCGUGCAAUCCCAAAUUGGAGAAAAGAGCCUAUUAAAGGUAUAUAUUACUCUAGAUAUUUCUUACUGUAAAUAUUGUAAUUUUAUAAUCCUGUGAAUAUUUUAUUAAUUUACAAAUAUUUAACAAAGUUUAAUCUGUGUGAGUUCAGAUUUAUUUAAUGGUGUUCCACUUCUGUGGUUCCUUCUGCAGUCAAUAUUGCACUAUAUUUUAUGUAAGAUUAACUUCAAUAAAAAAAAAGUUAACUGAUUUAAAUGCCUCUUUCUGGGAGAACAAAGUAUAGAGGCAAUUCUCUUCUUUAAAAUGUAACACUUAUGCUCUUCAGUCCCAGUGCUAAAGUAAUUUAAUGAAAUAUUAGUUACAAAUUUUCAAAGCUAACACAGCUAAACAACUGCACUUGGAACUUGUCAUUUUAAAACUUGAGUGUACUUGAAUGUAAAUGGCUUUUAUCAGCCAGUUUUCAGUAAACAAGAAUCUCUGCAAUAUCUAAUGUAUUGAAAAGCUAAACUCUUUAUAAUGAGUAAAGGAACGCUGUAUGAUCAGGGUUAAGUUUUUGUAAAAACAAGCAUUUGCAAAGGCCAAGUUCAAUAAAAAAAAUUUUUUUUUAAAUUCUAGUGAAAAUGUUUUUUGUUUUUUUUUGGCUGUAUGCAUUCCCCCUAGUGUUUGCAUCCCAAAUAUUGCAACUUUGUGGUAAUGUGUGUAUGGCCGAAAGCAACUAGAAAUUGACUAGUUGCAGAACAUGAAAUCUUUUUCAUUGUCCUAAUUAAAGGCUCAAGCCUGUGCCCUUUAAAGUCAGUGGCAGAGCUUUCACAGAAACAGGAUCAGGUCCUGAGUGAUCACUUUCCUCAUCUCCCUCAGCAGUGAUGGGGAAAAUAAAUUAGAUUUUCUAAAAUUCGUUGUUUUAUUAACCUAAGGUUCUCUAAAGACAUUUUCUUUUUUUAAAAUUAAUUUUUAACCUGAUUUUAACCCUUUAACAAUUCGAUUUUAAGAUGUUCAUGUUCUCUGCAGAAUUAUCAAAAGCAAAGUAUUUUUUCCUUUCAGAGGCCAGGGAGGAUUGAUCUCUAAUGUAUUCGCAACAUGACUCUCCUUCAAGGAUCCAAAAUAUCUCAGAGGUUUUUGUGGCAGGUGGUACUUUUGGGUUUACAAGUUAAUCUUUAUUAGAGAUGUGCCAAUAUAUGCUGCUUAUUGUAGUGUUGUUAUAUUUAGGCAUUUUAGCUAACUUACAAAUAUAUACUGUAACAGUAUACUUUGUACAGACUUAAUUUAAAAUUUAUUUAAAGAUUGAAAUAAAGUAGGCAAAAAAUAAAAAAUGUUUAUUUUUCAUUAGACUAAGCAGCUAUCAUUCUUUUGUUUUUAGUGUACUUGGACACCAAACAAUCUCAGAACGAUAAAAUAUUUUAGUUGAUAGGCCACAUUGCAGAAACUCUGUGGAUAUGUGUAUGUAUAUCUGUACUGUAUCUUGAUAACUGUUAACUCUAGAAUGCAAAUAAUGAAAUCAUACUCGUUUUACCAUUCAGAAGAGAAGUGUUUCACAGUUCGACUGUUUUCUCUGUUUUAUGACAAAAAGGCAUUUAUUUUCUGAAAGAUGUUUAUGAAGGGCCUGCCAUCUGGCUUCUCAAGUCAAUUUUUAAAAUUCCAGAGUGGGGGUGAUUACUUGUUUAGCCUUCACUGAUAGACCAAAGUCAGCUUUGACAUCAUAUUGGGGUGCUGCUCAAAUUUAUGUUUUAUGUCCUUUAAGUCAAAAAACAAAACAAGAAAAAAAUCAAGAUGUUAACUUCACUAUAGAACAAAUUCCUCACUGUACAGUAGAAUGGAUAUCUCUAAUCAAUCUGUUGUCAUUAAUAAUAGAUUCUUAUUUUUUUGAAUUACUUAUCUAUUUAAAAGAACAGCAAACAUUGUAUUUGCUAGUAAAUAUAAAAUGU
rnacentral:lncRNA from 1 species